UGGCACUUUUAAGAUCGGUUAUAAAAGAACCGAUCUUAAAAGUACCACUUUUAAGAUCGAUUCUUUUAUAACCGAUCUUAAAAGUACUU
rnacentral:miRNA from 1 species